AACGAACGCUGGCGGCAUGCCUAACACAUGCAAGUCGAACGAGACCUUCGGGUCUAGUGGCGCACGGGUGCGUAACGCGUGGGAAUCUGCCCUUCGGUUCGGAACAACAGUUAGAAAUGACUGCUAAUACCGGAUAAUGACGUAAGUCCAAAGAUUUAUCGCCGAAGGAUGAGCCCGCGUAAGAUUAGGUAGUUGGUGGGGUAAUGGCCUACCAAGCCGACGAUCUUUAGCUGGUCUGAGAGGAUGAUCAGCCACACUGGGACUGAGACACGGCCCAGACUCCUACGGGAGGCAGCAGUGGGGAAUAUUGGACAAUGGGCGAAGGCCUGAUCCAGCAAUGCCGCGUGAGUGAUGAAGGCCUUAGGGUUGUAAAGCUCUUUUACCAGGGAUGAUAAUGACAGUACCUGGAGAAUAAGCUCCGGCUAACUCCGUG
rnacentral:rRNA from 1 species